rnacentral:rRNA from 1 species
UUCCUACGGGGCGCAGCAGUGGGGAAUAUUGGACAAUGGGGGGAACCCUGAUCCAGCGACGCCGCGUGAGUGAAGAAGUAUUUCGGUAUGUAAAGCUCUAUCAGCAGGGAAGAAAAUGACGGUACCUGACUAAGAAGCCCCGGCUAACUACGUGCCAGCAGCCGCGGUAAUACGUAGGGGGCAAGCGUUAUCCGGAUUUACUGGGUGUAAAGGGAGUGCAGGCGGCUUGGCAAGUCUGAUGUGAAAGGCUGGGGCUCAACCCCAGGACUGCAUUGGAAACUGUUAGGCUGGAGUGUCGGAGAGGU